UCAGGAUGAACGCUAGCUACAGGCUUAACACAUGCAAGUCGAGGGGCAGCAUGUUGGUUGCUUGCAACCAAUGAUGGCGACCGGCGCACGGGUGAGUAACGCGUAUCCAACCUUCCCUAUAGUAGAGGAUAGCCCGGCGAAAGUCGGAUUAAUACUCUAUGUUUUCCAAUGCAGACAUCUAAAAUGGAACAAAGGUUUACCGCUAUAGGAUGGGGAUGCGUCUGAUUAGAUGGUAGGCGGGGUAAUGGCCCACCUAGUCGACGAUCAGUAGGGGUUCUGAGAGGAAGGUCCCCCACAUUGGAACUGAGACACGGUCCAAACUCCUACGGGAGGCAGCAGUGAGGAAUAUUGGUCAAUGGGCGAGAGCCUGAACCAGCCAAGUAGCCGUGCAGGAUGACGGCCCUAUGGGUUGUAAACUGCUUUUAUACAGGGAUAAAGUGACGUACGUGUACGUUAUUGUAGGUACUGUAUGAAUAAGGACCGGCUAAUUCCGUGCCAGCCGCGGC
rnacentral:rRNA from 1 species